CGUCGCCGCCGCCGCCGCCGCCGCAGCUUGGGAGGUGCUGCCACCACAGGUACCUGCACAUGUUGUUCUUUGUCAGUGCUGUCAAGUGUGUGCCAGGGUGAUCCAUGGUCACUUUCCGGGAUGGCAGCAAGGUGACUUCGGCUGAGGAUGACCCUGACUGAAAGGCUGCGUGAGAAGAUAUCUCGGGCCUUCUACAACCAUGGGCUCCUCUGUGCAUCCUAUCCCAUCCCCAUCAUCCUCUUCACAGGGUUCUGCAUCUUAGCCUGCUGUAUGUGGGUGCCCCGGUGGCUUAUGUCCAGCAGAUAUUUGUGAAGUCCUCAGUGUUUCCCUGGCACAAGAACCUCCUGGCAGUAGAUGUAUUUCGUUCACCUUUGUCCCGGGCAUUCCAACUGGUGGAGGAGAUCCGGAACCACGUGCUGAGAGACAGCUCUGGGAUCAGGAGCUUGGAGGAGUUGU
rnacentral:lncRNA from 10 species